rnacentral:lncRNA from 1 species
AGGGUGGGAAAACUGGGAAUUCUAAUUAACAUAAGUAUUUUAGUAUGGUUGAAUAGUUGUUAUUUUUUGAAAAAUCAUCUAUAUAAAUUUUAAUAUAAUGUAAAAAAUAAAUUUUCUUUUUCUAAGCUGAUGCUUACCCAUCCACUUAACAAAAAACGUUCCCUUUUUUACACAAUAGGCCAGUCUAUUCUAAGACAUGCGCAGUCUGAACCCACAGAACUAAGUUGGACAAACUAUAACGUUUGAUAUCCUUUUCUUCUUCAUCAGACAUUUGCAUUCUACUGCUGACGAUGGCCUCCCAAUGUACUACAUUUCUUCGGUUCUGUGCAGUACACAUUCAGUAUUUUUUAGAUUAACGCUUAAUUUCAUCACUCCACCUUGAUUUGGGUGUCCACCUAUAUGUCAGUUAUUUUUUCGAUACUUCAAAAUAUUUGUUUUUCAUUAAACUCAAUAAUUUUCCUUAUUUUCCUAGUUCUCGAUGUCAUUUUAUUUAUGUAUACAGUUUAAUUUUAUUUAAAACUCCUUUAAUUAAUCAUAAAAAUAAAAAUCGCUAGAUAUCCAUCAAUGUCUUCGAUUUAGUCUCUCUCUUUGGUCUAUACUGAUUUUAAUUAUUCAUUUCUUUAUUAAAUGAUUUAUAGAUUUGAUAAUCCCCUAUUAUCAAAGAACAAGAAAAUUUGCAAAAGAUAUACUAUAUAUUUCAUACUAAAUUACAUAACGUUUAUUUUAUUAUUGAAAAUUUUUAUGGAACAAAUGAAAUAUUAUUACUGUAUAAAGCUUUCUAUCUUUUUUUGCAUAUUUUACGCCCCUUUCCAAUCAGGAAGAUUACUAAGAGGCGGGGACAAUUCCAACUACGGGGUACACCCACACCCGUGGAGGGGAGCCGGAUGGUGAAGGACGGGGAUCGCCAGGCGGGCCCAGCAUCUCGAAAAACUUUUCAG